CGAAAAGACUCUGGUCAAGAUGACUCGGGUCCUUAACGGUUGGAGCUAGCUCACAGCGAGACGUACGCUGAAGGUGACGGUCACUGGACUGAGACCGUCAAGUCUACGAAGCAGCAUGGAUAUGCACAUGCGAAGGCUGAUGCAGCACGCCGCAUGAGACGACGCUCAGCUGUAAUCUCUUUAGCAGGGAGAGCGAAGUGACGUACUGCAGAAAAAGCACCGGCUACUACGUGCCAGCAGCGCGUAAUACGUAGGGUGCAAGCGUGUCCGGAGUAUUGGGCGUAGAGAGCUCGUAGGCGGUUUGUCGCGUCUGCUGUGAAAUCCCGAGGCUCAGCCUCGGGUCUGCAGUGGGUACGGGCAGACUAGAGUGCGGUAGGGGAGAUUGGAAUUCCUGGUGUAGCGGUGGAAUGCGCAGAUAUCAGGAGGAACACCGAUGGCGAAGGCAGAUCUCUGGGCCGCUACUGACGCUGAGGAGCGAAAGGGUGGGGAGCAAACAGGCUUAGAUACCCUGGUAGUCCACCCCGUAAACGUUGGGCGCUAGAUGUGGGGACCAUUCCACGGUCUCCGUGUCGUAGCUAACGCAUUAAGCGCCCCGCCUGGGGAGUACGGCCGCAAGGCUAAAACUCAAAGGAAUUGACGGGGGCCCGCACAAGCGGCGGAGCAUGCGGAUUAAUUCGAUGCAACGCGAAGAACCUUACCAAGGCUUGACAUAUACGAGAACGGGCCAGAAAUGGUCAACUCUUUGGACACUCGUAAACAGGUGGUGCAUGGUUGUCGUCAGCUCGUGUCGUGAGAUGUUGGGUUAAGUCCCGCAACGAGCGCAACCCUCGUUUUAUGUUGCCAGCACGUAAUGGUGGGAAUUCAUGGGAUACUGCCGGGGUCAACUCGGAGGAAGGUGGGGAGGACGUCAAAUCAUCAUGCCCCUUAUGUCUUGGGCUUCACGCAUGUUCCAAUGGCCAGUACAAAGGGCUGCAAUCCCGUAAGGUGGAGCGAAUCCCAAAAAGCUGGUCCCAGUUCGGAUUGAGGUCUGCAACUCGACCUCAGGAAGUCGGAGUCGUUAGUAAUCGCAGAUCAGCAACGCUGCGGUGAAUACGUUCCCGGCCCUUGUACACCCCGCCCGUCAAGUCAUGAAAGUCGGUAACCCCCGAAGCCAGUGGCCUAACCGCAAGAAGGAGCUGUCUAAGGUGAUCGAAUUGUU
rnacentral:rRNA from 1 species